rnacentral:rRNA from 1 species
AGGGUGAGCGAAGCNCAAAAAAGACCGUCCCAGUUCGGAUUGUAGUCUGCAACCCGACUCCAUGAAGCUGGAUUCGCUAGUAAUCGCGCAUCAGCCACGGCGCGGUGAAUACGUUCCCGGGCCUUGUACACACCGCCCGUCAAGCCAUGAAAGCCGGGGGUACCUGAAGUGCGUAACCGCGAGGAGCGCCCUAGGGUAAAACUGGUGAUUGGGGCUAAGUCGUAACAAGGUAAC